rnacentral:lncRNA from 1 species
ACAUCGACAAUGUCGAUUAUGUUACAAAAUAUGUUAAUAUCCUUAUACGGUACAAAAAUCACGAUUGAGAUUUUGUCAUAGAGAUACACAAACACAAGCAAUAAUAUUUCCAUUAUUACAUGGGUGAAGAACCAACAAACAAGAGAGUAAUGUACUCUUUGAGUGUCUUUCCUGGGAAUGUAAACCCAUCGUCAUACCUGUAUACCACAUCUAUCAUUCGAGCAAGGUUAAGAAUUGGGGCCAGCAAAUCCAUUGAGACUUCUCUUGGCUUGAGACACCCCUCGUUUAUUUCUUUCCAUGCAUUUUCAAUCAUUUUCUUGAGCUCUUCGAUUGCUACCUUUUCUGAUACGCCAUAGGUCUUGAUGUAUGAAUCAACACCUGUGGCAGAUUGUCCUCUUUCGCGCUCAAACUUAAACAAAUAGUCAUAGUGUUAGUGAGAAUACAUCAUGUUUAUAAGUUAACUUUGCAUUUUAAACCAGUUUAAUUGUUUACCUGGUAUGUCAUAACAUCAUCUUGGAGUCUUGAAAUUAACUCCGAAGCUUGCAGAAUCUGUGGAUGACUCUCAUACCAAACCAAAGCAUCUUCACUCACUAUCUCACCCAUUCCCACUAAAGCAGAUUUGGAGAUAACAUUGUAGGCAGAAGUGAUUAAUCCGUUCUUCAUGUACUCUGGAAAUGAUGCCACAUAUCCACUGUUUGUCCACUCAGCCUCUUCAAGCUGCAAAUAGUUGAAGUGAAGUUUUGCAAGUUUUAGUAGUGAGUCAUGUCUGGAGCAUUCUUCUUGAUAGUUGGAGAAAUAUAGCCUUGCCUCUACCAUUGGCAUCCCUUGAUGAAAUGGUCUUUUCAAGGAUUGUUUCACCUGUUGUGCAAGACUGCCUUCCAGAGUCUUUACUAAACUCUUCAGUUUAGUUUCUGUGAAUGCCGAUGCUUCGUCUAGAAUCUUUUCUCCUUUCAAUCUCAAUUGUGCAGAUUCAUAUAAGCCUAACAUACCCCUCACAUCACUGGUAAUAGAUUCCUUGAAUGUAUUCGAGUCGUCGUUCUUGAAUUUGUUAAACACAUCUGUAUGGUCACAAAUUUAUCAAAGAUUAUCUUUAAAAAGAGAAGAUAGGAGUAAUUUAUGUUGUAAAUCAAUUUAUAGCAACCAUAAAAGAUUGUAUUACUUAUGUCAUGCAUGAAAAAGAGAAGACAUGAGUGAUUUGUGUUGUAAAUCAUUUGAAAGCAACCAUAUAUGAUUGUACAACUUUUGUUCUUUUGAACGGCCCAUAUGAUUGUACAACUUACAUCAUGAAAAAGAGAAGACAUGAGUAAUUUAUGUUGUAAAUCAUUUGAUGGCAACCAUCAUGGACUAU